rnacentral:ribozyme from 1 species
AAACACCAAAACAAACAAACAAACAAAACAAACAGAAGAAAGUAAAGUGUGGCAGCAAGCAACAACCUAACUCGAAUCCAUUUCCACAAGUGCGAUUUCACUUUUAUUUUAUUCUCUCUCUCCGUCCGUGUCGCUUUUCUGUAGUUGAAGAAAAGGUGCUGUACAAAUGAAGAACAUGUAACGACUUUGUGACGUUGUAAGUGAGAGAAUCGUCGUUUUUUUUUUUUUUUUUUU